rnacentral:rRNA from 1 species
ACGGAGGGUGCAAGCGUUAUCCGGAUUUACUGGGUUUAAAGGGUGCGUAGGUGGGUCUGUAAGUCAGUGGUGAAAUCUCCGGGCUUAACCCGGAAAUUGCCAUUGAUACUAUAGGUCUUGAAUCAUCUGGAGGUAAGCGGAAUAUGUCAUGUAGCGGUGAAAUGCUUAGAUAUGACAUAGAACACCAAUUGCGAAGGCAGCUGGCUACACAAUUAUUGACACUGAGGCUCGAAAGCGUGGGGAUCAAACAGGA